rnacentral:misc_RNA from 1 species
GUGAAUCAUCGAAUUUUUGAACGCAAAUUGCACUUUCUGGUAUUCCGGAAAGCAUGCCUGUUUGAGGGUCAGUUAAAUAAACAUCGGUGUUGUUGCUGCUUUUUGUGGUGAGGCGCGGGAAUUGAGUUGUCUUACAUUUGGUUAAGUGACUUAAAUUUUUGCAUGUUUAUUGAACGUAUUUAAAUUUCUUACGUACGUUUGAGAUAUCGAAUACUUUAUUAGGUUCGGUCAUCCUUAUGAUUCGAGAUUAUAAUUUUUUAUUAAAUGA